CUAGAGCCUCAAACACCAGCGGAGCAAGAGGGAGCCCCUUUAUUGAGCACCCUGUGAGCAGGCACUUCACAUCCAGACCUCUCCAGGGCCCGUGAGGCUGUCAGGCGGCUGUACUGGCUCUGGGGGCUGGAAGCUGAGGACUUCUUGGUAGGUCCUGCAGCGAGGAAGCCAUGAGCCAGGUGGACAGCAUGGUUCAAGAGGACCCACAUCCAGGACCGAGGACACCCUGCCCACCCGCACCUACCCGGUGGAUGAUGCCGGCCGAGUGGAUGUACUGCGGGGGAGGGGAAGAGCACAGGACGGUGAGCCUCGCCUUCCGCCCCCUCUCCCGACUCCCCCACCCCGCCAUGCCCCCCACCGAGGAGGGACUUCGGAGCCUCCUCCCCAGCAGUGAACCUUCAGCCCGCGCAGCAGCUGGUAAAC